CGGAGAUACUGAGGUAGCUUGCUACUUAAGUAUCUUAGUGGCGGACGGGUGAGUAACACGUGGGUAACCUACCCUAAAGAGGGGGAUAACACCGAGAAAUCGGUGCUAAUACCGCAUAAUAUUAGUACUUCGCAUGAAGUACUAAUCAAAGGAGGAAUCCGCUUUAGGAUGGGCCCGCGGCUGAUUAGCUAGUUGGUGAGGUAACGGCUCACCAAGGCGACGAUCAGUAGCCGAUCUGAGAGGAUGACCGGCCACACUGGAACUGAGACACGGUCCAGACUCCUACGGGAGGCAGCAGUGGGGAAUAUUGCACAAUGGGGGAAACCCUGAUGCAGCGACGCCGCGUGGAGGAAGAAGGUCUUCGGAUUGUAAACUCCUGUCAUUCGGGACGAAUAAUGACGGUACCGGAUGAGGAAGCCACGGCUAACUACGUGCCAGCAGCCGCGGUAAUACGUAGGUGGCGAGCGUUGUCCGGAAUUACUGGGCGUAAAGGGCGCGUAGGCGGUCUGCUAAGUCAGAUGUGAAAACCCCGGGCUCAACCUGGGGAUUGCAUUUGAAACUGGCAGACUAGAGUGUCGGA
rnacentral:rRNA from 1 species